CCGGAACCACCAAGAUCCACAACCUAAAAAGCAACAUCAAAGCUCUAACUGUGAAAUUGACUCCUAAAGAGAUGUUUGAACUUGAAUCGUUUGCAUCUGCUGAUAAUAUCAAAGGGGCUAGAUAUGGGCCUAGUUAUUCUACUUACACUUGGAUGAAUUCGGACACUCCUCCUUUGUCUUCUUGGAGGACCAACUGAAUUGGAAUACCAAGAAUCCUUCUGUGUUUGUGUUUGUGUGUAGUAUUAUAAUUUUAUUUAUUUGUGUAGUUUAUGUUUGUGUGUAAUAUAAGAAUACAUUGAAAUCUAAGGGGAGAGAGAUUGUCAUUCUACUUACACUUGGAUGAAUUCUCACACCCCUCCUUUGUCUUCAUAGAAAGAAAACUGAAUUGAGAAUAAAAUAGAAUAUUUGAGAAUAAAGUUGAAUUAAGUGAAAUUGAGAUGAAAUAUUGAUAUAAUUGAGUUAAACCUUUCUGAUUCCACAUAGAAGAAAGAAACAACAACAAAGUAAAUCUUCUUGAUUCCGCGGACCUUUCACAUUUCUUGCAAGAAGAACCCAGAUGAAUGCAAGUUCAUUGUAUUUGAUUUUUUUCAAGCAUUUUUAGAUUUUAACAAACAAAAUCACUUUUUUUAAUAAAAAUCGUGAUAAAUAUAU
rnacentral:lncRNA from 1 species